UACGAAGGGGGCUAGCGUUGCUCGGAAUCACUGGGCGUAAAGCGCACGUAGGCGGCUUCUUAAGUCAGGGGUGAAAUCCUGGGGCUCAACCCCAGAACUGCCCUCGAUACUGAGGGGCUUGAGUCCGGGAGCGGUGAGUGGAACUCCGAGUGUAGAGGUGAAAUUCGUAGAUAUUCGGAAGAACACCAGUGGCGAAGGCGGCGCACUGGCCCGGUACUGACGCUGAGGUGCGAAAGCGUGGGGAGCAAACAGG
rnacentral:rRNA from 1 species